rnacentral:lncRNA from 1 species
GAAGCGCCUAAGUUGAUGACAGUUUUGCACACAUGACCGUUAAACAAAUACAACUCAGAAUUUAAAUGUCACGUAAUUAAUUACCAUAUUCCCAACACGCCAUUUUAAUCUGAAAACACGAGAUGAAAACCAUAUACAGCAAAGCAGAUCCAUAGCAAAAACCAUUUUCAUCUUUCAAAUCUUAGAUUUCCAAAUCGCGUGAACCCUAAACCCAAAUGAAAAUUGAUCUGAAAUUGAAGUUCCGCCAAGGGUAUUUUCUCAGUCCGUUCACAUGGAGAGAACUAAUAGAGGUAAUUCAGAAUUUUUUUCCAACUUUUAUUCUGAUAUCACUUCUACUACCUUCGUUGUUCCUAGUAAUAUUUGUUGUUAAAAUCAUUGGAUUUGUUGUUGCAAGUAUUUUUGUUAUGCAAGAUGCAUUCAAUGUAUUUGAUGAAAAUGGUGAAUGGAUUAUCAUCUUUGAUGGACUGAAAUCGGUCUUGGCCUCAGUUGGGCAAGGGAGAUGGUGUGGUGAAUUUUGCAGAGUUUAAGCAGAUGAUGAAAAGGGGGUGGAUCUGCUGCAUUAAUUUAAUGUGUGUGUGUGUAUUUUUCCUGAAACUUUUAUAGGCUAUAUAAAUAUAUUCAUUCAUAGUGUUGUUCACCAAAUUCAAGCACUUUUCACCAUCAUUUUAGGCUUGUUUAAUAUGAUGAUUUAUGCUUUUGGACUCGAGAGAUUUAUAUCUCUAAUUUUGUGCUUUUCUGUUCGAUAGGAAAGAGCAAGGGGAUUUCGAGUGGAGCAACGUCUCGCUUGACAAAUAAAAACCAUUAAAGGGUGAAAGUCGGCCCAGCGGUUUUAACGACAAAUGGAAUGUGAUUCCAAUUGAAGAUUUGUAGCGUUUUUUCACAAGAGAGUGAGAAACGAAGGGGAAGAGAGUCGUGAAAAUUUUCGCGUAGAAAUCUGAAAACAGUUGAUACGAUCAGCUGGUGUAAAUUUUAAUCCUAAUUACCCAAUGAGCAAGGGCCUAAAUUCAAAUUUAGAUGUAGAAAUAGAGCCAUAUAGCCAGCCAUAAGCAAUAUGCGACAACAUACACAACUAUAGCCCGUCGAACAAACUAAGACAACCUGAACACUCAUGUAUUUUCCAAACUUUAUCAUAAAAACUGGUUUGAGUGUGAA